GACAGAGGGUGCAAACGUUGUUCGGAUUCACUGGGCGUAAAGGGUGCGUAGGUGGUGGGGUAAGUCGGAUGUGAAAGCUCGGAGCUCAACUCCGAAAUGGCAUUGGAAACUACCCUGCUAGAGGAUUGGAGGGGGGACUGGAAUACUUGGUGUAGCAGUGAAAUGCGUAGAUAUCAAGUGGAACACCAGUGGCGAAGGCGAGUCCCUGGACAAUACCUGACACUGAGGCACGAAAGCUAGGGGAGCAAACAGG
rnacentral:rRNA from 1 species